AAAGAAACUAACAAGGAUUCCCUUAGUAACUGCGAGUGAAGAGGGAAGAGCUCAAAUUUAAAAUCUGGCAGUGUUUUGCUGUCCGAGUUGUAAUCUAGAGAAGUGCUGCCCGUGCUGGACCAUGUACAAGUCUCCUGGAAUGGAGCGUCACAGAGGGUGAGAAUCCCGUCUUUGACAUGGACUACCAGUGCAUUUGUGGUGUGCUCUCAAAGAGUCGAGUUGUUUGGGAAUGCAGCUCUAAAUGGGUGGUAAACUCCAUCUAAAGCUAAAUAUUGGCGAGAGACCGAUAGCGAACAAGUACCGUGAGGGAAAGAUGAAAAGAACUUUGGAAAGAGAGUUAAACAGUAUGUGAAAUUGUUGAAAGGGAAACGCUUAAAGUCAGUCGUGUCGGCCAGGGAUCAACUCAGCUUUCUCUGCUGGGUGUACUUCCUGAUCUGAUGGGCCAACAUCAGUUUUGACUGCUGGAGAAGGGCAGAGGGAAUGUGGCACCUUCGGGUGUGUUAUAGCUCUCUGUCAGAUGCAGUGGUUGGGACUGAGGAAAGCAGCAUGCCGCAAGGCCGGGUCGUUUCGACCACGUUCAUUGCUGAGGAUGUUGGCAUAAUGGCUUUAAUCGACCCGCCUUGA
rnacentral:rRNA from 1 species